ACAAAUUUUCAACCCGAAAUGAACCGGAUCUUUUUUCGACCCGCCCGCAAAAUGCUGUGGUCUAUUUGGGAUGGAGCUGCCAUCUUGAAAUGAUUUGGGGGAGGAGGGGCUAGUGCUAUUAUGGGACUUUGGCACAUGAUGUUUGUCAACAAAGACAUAUGUGCCCCCUAAUUUAAUAAAACUCUGUCACCUAUAAGAUGCCCUGUAUGGCGAUUUGUUGAUGAAUUUUCUCAGCCUCUUACAUGACU
rnacentral:lncRNA from 1 species